rnacentral:rRNA from 1 species
UACAGGGGGGGCAAGCGUUGUUCGGAAUUACUGGGCGUAAAGGGCUCGUAGGCGGCCAACUAAGCCCGACGUGAAAUCCCAAGGCUUAACUUUGGAACUGCGUCGGAUACUGGAUGGCUUGAAUUCGGGAGAGGGAUGCAGAAUUCCAGGUGUAGCGGUGAAAUGCGUAGAUAUCUGGAGGAACACCGGUGGCGAAGGCGGCAUCCUGGACCGACAUUGACGCUGAUGAGCGAAAGCUAGGGGAGCAAACGGG